UUCUCUGCUAUAACAAGCCGUAAAAUUGAGCAAACCCCUCUCUCUCUCUUUCUAUCAUCGUUGUCAGCGCCUAACUCAUCUCUCUCACCAUCACCGACCACCAUCACCAGGCACAAAUAUAAAUCCAAUAUUGAUACACUUUGAUAGGCUAGUCAGACAAGUUCUUGGAGCAUUGGAACACUGCCUGAAUUAUAUUUUGAACUGGAGGUACACUUUUUUCUACUGGUGUAGAGAGAUUGAAUUCGAAAAGUGGUCAGGAAAGCAAGUAGGGUCACAAAGCAGGUGAAGAGAGAUUGGAUUAAUUUGCUCAUUCAAGCUGUGUACUUCUUUUUUGGUGUUGACACUGUAAAAGCUAUGAAUUUGUCAUUUUUGUUUGUAUAUGUAAUAAAUAUUAUUUUGUAGAGUGAAUAUUGUCAUUCUGUUAGAAUGAAUAAAA